rnacentral:lncRNA from 1 species
CCAGAGCUUUGUUUUUAUUGCCUGAAGUCCUGCUGCCACAUCUUUAGGACCCCAGGGGGUGGGGAACGUUGAGGCCAGAGGGUUGAGUUGUGCAUCCAGAUGUUUCUUGUUCUCCCACAUCUGGGCCCUUCUCUUUGCACGGAACAGUUGUGAGGUUUUAUUAUUAUAAAGUCCCAGCAAGACGGGCCAAGGGGUGCUGCCAGCUCUGUGUCAGUUCCAUCACCGAGUCAGCUAAGAAGCCUCCUGCCUAAUUACCCCCAUGGCGAGCCAAGAAGAGGGGCUGGAGGGUAUUUUAAUAAUCAAGACAGAGCUUUCAAAUCGAAGCGAUUAUUCCAGCCAGGAUCAACCAAGGUCCCUCACGAACACUUGGCCAAAAUGAGUUUUCAAGGAGAAGUUCUGUCUUAAAUUAUGUUUAUGGAUCAUUCCAGUUUUAAGUGAAUAUUUAGACUGCAGUUCACAGAAACUCCCGCUUUGGUGGGGAAAAGAAAACUGGCUUUCAUUUUACAGUUUUUGUCUUCGUCAGCAUUUCUAACGGCAAGAAUGACAAACUCUGCUUGGGAAAUGCCAGCGCUGACAGCUGUGUUUUAUUAUUGAAUAUUUCUGGUGGCGAGGUUGGCGGCCGCUCUGUUUAUACUGCUCCUAAGACUUCAUGCAAGACUCUGCGAGGUCCUGGGCUUAAACCGAAGUGUCUGACCCCCUGGAUAAUUCAUUCCAUCCCCUUCGUUCCUCAUCUCUUUCUUUUAAUUUUUUUCCCAAGGGCAAAUUGAGCACUGCCAGAAAAUGGAGUCCACAGACAGAGGGAUGCUGGGGACCCCAGGUUGCCUCUUUGGUCCAGGAACGUACAAGGAGACCCGGGAACGCUGCUUCUCCACCAAGCUGCUGGUUCCAAGACUUUUGCCGUUUGCUUCUGGGUGGGUGUAGAACUGGAGUCCACAUAUCAGCCGUGUUCUCCCUAUGCCCUAAGAAAAGAGUGUUUCCAGCGAGCACAUCCAGUGGAAUUCCCAACGCUCUGCCCGGAGUCCGCAACUUUGGGAAGGGGAGUCAAUUUAUCAGGUCACCUCUGGUCUGUCCCCAUAAUGAGCUCGGGGGAUGGGUUCUCCCAGCAUCUUGGUGUCCAUUCUUGAUGGCGCCGAUUCAUGCGAGGGACCCAGCCUUUCUUGUAUUCCCGCCGAAAGCCAUCGCUUUCACACGAUGUGCAAACACGUGGAAGAAUUUCUUGGGAGCUGGAGAUGCUGGGAAGAGUCACUUCCCAAGGGAGCAAACAGCAUUCCAUGGCCAUUUAUUUUUCCAGGGUUUUCGCAGCCACGUCUGCAACCCGGGUCGUUCUUCCGCAGCACAACAGCCAGGACUCGCAUCCAGGGCUCGUUCACUCUGUCAUCUAGUUCUUCUGUGUUUAUUCGGCACCUUACCACGUGCCAGACAGCUGGGGAAGCACGGGAGACAGCCAUCCCUGCCCUCAGCAUCUACUGGGAU